GCGCCCGUAGCUCAGGUGGAUAGAGCGGUAGAUUCCUAAUCUGCAGGCCGCAGGUUCAAAUCCUGUCGGGCGCACCA
rnacentral:tRNA from 1 species